GUCCCAGGUUAACUCAGUAGGUAGAGCACGAAACUCUUAAUCUCAGGGUUGUGGGUUCAAGUCCCAUAUUGGCCA